UUAUCUUGCCAGGUAAACACGAAAAAAAAAAAAAAAACCAAGGUGUUCCUCAGACAAUUCUACCCUUAGAGAGGUAGGAAGCACCUAUUACAGAUACAGCCACAAAAACUCAAAUAAUAUCCUGGAGGGGUACCCCUAGGCCCUAUAAUACAUUUGACCAACACCAUAGGCUGUCUAGCAUUUGCAGAAUGAAUCCCGCAACUCCUCUCAUUCCAGAGAUAAUACAGAGUAGCAGUGAAUACUACCCACCGAACCUUGUUCUUGAAAGAAAUUAGCAGCUAGCUGCAUUACCAGAUUUGUUACACACCUCUUGUAUCCCAACUAAGAAGCUCCCGUAAACCAUUCCAGACCUCCGUAGUAUACACACAUUGACAAAAAAUAUGGUCUGAAUUCUCCACAUUUUGAACCCAAGUUGUAUACUUUUUGGAUUUUUACUCAACUGAGAGCCACAGAGUUGUACUAGGGUUUACAGUUAAUUUCUUUUACAGUUCAAUUCAAAACUAAAAAUUCCCUCUUCUUUUAUUUUGUUGCAUUUUCUCAGUAACCAAACAGACACUAGGGUUUUAAAGAAAGGCGAAGUGAGAAUGAACACAAUCGCAGAGACGGUGUGGAGGGACAUCGGGUCAACCCGUUUAGGACCUUCUCUAUGUUCGCUUAUCUAUUACAAAUUCACAUUGUUUAAUUUCUCUCUUACUGGAUACUGAUUGUUAUAAUCUCUGUGUGUGUGUGUGUGUCUCUCUCUCUCUCUAUAUAUAUAUCUGCGGCGUCAACAUCUAUUGAUUUGGAACGGAGCAGUAACCGAUGAUCAGCUCUCCAUGUUUGUAUGUGCUUCUCUAUGCGUAUUUUGCCUCAAAUCAUAAUUGAUUAUGAAGCAUCAAUUGAUGUUUACAUAUAAAUUUAUUGCAAUAUGUGUGUGUGUGUGUGUGUGUGUUUCUGUAUCUGUAUUUUUCCUCAAUUAUAAUUGAUUAUGAAGCGUCAAUUGAUGUGUUUCUGUAUGUUUGUUUUUUGCCUCAAUUAUAAUUGAUUAUGAAACAUCAAUUGAUUUUUAAUUGCAACAUAUACAUACAACAUAUAUGUAUAUCUAUAUAUCAAUUUCAAACACUAAUCAUUUGCCACGUUAUAUAUUCAUAUAUAUGAAAAUGAAAAUCUGAUCUAAUUUACUGCUUUAUAUACGACUUACACUUUUUUUUGGGUAAAAACUUGGAGAGAGCGACUAGGAUAGUGGAUCAACGAGGUGUGAAGAGGAUAUCUGGUGAACCCAGUGGGUGUUCCGCCUUUGAGGUUGAUUGUGUACCGUUCCUUCCACAUUUUGUGAACAUAGGUUUUAAGUGUCAGCCUUUAAUUGCACAAAUUGAGAUUUUAUUCCACACCCGGCUCAAAAUUGGAGUUCAUUUGCCUUCAAAUUGUGAAUUUUUCAGUGAAAAUACAAAACACUUUUGAAGGUUUAAUUGGGUUUUAACUUCUAUUUAUUUGCUUUAGAAAUUUGAGUUAGACUUUUAUUAAUUUACCUUGAUUGACAAGUGAUUUGGAACAUUGCUUUCGUUUUUCUUGCAAAAAUAAGGUAAAUUAAAAUUGGGUUGUCAUUUAUAUACUCUGCUUUAGGUUGUGGGAGAAUCUCAGAAGAAGGAGGAAUAUUUCUGCUUCACGGAACACUAUUGUGCUUGUUUUUCAUUAUUCUAAGACAUUGUGAACAGAGGAGAACAACUUUGUGUGAGUUUUAUAUGUCUUCUUUUAGUUCUAGUUACAUUUGUCAUUUGUUGGGAUUCUCUAUUUUUUUGUGUUGGUAGCAGUAUAGUGCACCAAAGCCAUCGUAUUGUCUGCCAAGUUUGUUAAGAUUUCACUAGAGAUGCUUACAAUCCUCAGUAAUGUUUUCUCCAUUCUUGAAGAGAUGGGAGGAGGGUGUGCAUUCCUUGCGGCAGCGACUUCAGAUUCUCACAACUCCCAACAAGAAAGAAGGUCAUAUUGAGAACGGGUAGUCCUCCUAGGGCAAAGGAUACCAUUCUAGGGCAAUCCUUUAUUCUUAACAAACUCCAUGAAAGCGUUGGGAAGAAGCCUAACAACAGUGACAUGAGAAGAUCACAACUUUUGGUUAUCUCCGAAACAGCAAUGGAUGUGCGGUGGCUAUGCUCCAUCUCCUCCGGCAGGGGAAACUCUAAACUUCUACAACCCUGUAUCAGAAGUAAUUUCAAUGUAGGAGGAGGUAGAUCACCAAAGGGGAAAGACACCUGAAGAAGAGAUGAACAAUUAUAGGUGUGCAACUCUUCAAGGCAAAUAUUGUUGAUGGCCAUCAUCAUAUUCAUAUUCAUUCUCUCUGCUGAUGAUGCUACUGUUAUGGUCUGUAGAGCAUCACAUUCAUUGAUAAUUAGAAUCUUAAGCAUCAGCUCCCACGUCCAAAUUGCAUGAGUCUCGGACAUUUCUCUAUGUCCAACUGUUCAUGUUUUAUUAAUCUGGGACAUUCCGGAGGCAAUUCCUUCAAGUUUGGCAUCCUUGAAAUCUCCAAUUUCUAAAGAGAAGACAGUGUUUUGCAAUUCUGGCGGCAAUUCUAUCAAGUUUGUCAUCUCUGACAUCUCCAAUUCUUGAAGAGAAGGCAGGCCUUGUAGAAACAGCCCAACUUGAUUGGACAGGAGCCUUUGACAUUUGAAAAUAUCAAGUUUCCUUAGAGAUGGAAAGCGGAUGGAUAAUUCACCGAUCAACUUGGGACAAUCAACCAAAGAAAGCUCUAAAAGGCAAGAGAACUCUCCAGCCCCUAAUGCAUGCCAUUCCUCCCACUCUUCCAUUUGCUUAAAGCUUAGUGUCUCUGGAGAUUAAAAUGGUUUGAUCGAAGAAGAAGGCAUCCCCAUAGAACUCUCGACCCACAUUUGUUAUUGCUUUCAUUCCUUCAAUUCUUAGAUAUUUAGAGAGGGUAGCUGCCCAAUUGAUGCCAAUGAAUAGCAAUUUGCACGGUCUAUAAGUUCUAAGGACACCAUGUUGCAAGAUAAAUUAGCUCCCUAUGACCAAUCCGGAAAUUUUGUGCUCCCAUAGUUGAAGAUGCUGAGAGUCUUCAACCCUUCAUGAGGUUGUAGCUUGUCAAGUACAUCUCUUUCCCUUAUUGAAUCAUCCGUAUCGCCACCCCAUUUCAAUACUAAUCCUUCAACAUGUUUCUUGUUGGUCUCUGAUGCAUCCUGACCACUUACUACAUUUUCCAGCCCUAAAAUAUUGAGUUUUCUCCUAAGAUGGCAGAGUUCCUUCAACCCACUAAUCCUUGACUCAUCAUUCUUGCAAACUACAAAAUAUAUUAAAUGCUGGAGAUCUUUCAGCCUGCUCAUUUGUGUUGGAAUUUCAACCAUUCUAGUUCCUUUGACAUCAAGAUGACGCAAGUUUAUUAGUUUUCCCAUGUUCACAGGCAAAUCAGUCAGACAUUCACAAUAUGAAAAAUCAAAUAUUUGUAAAUGGCACAAGAUUGUUUCAGAAUUAGGUAACUUCUUGAUUCUUGUCUCAGAAAGAUCUAAAUAGCGUAAAUGUAACAAAUUUUUUUGAGGCAAUUUAGAAAUCUGAUAGUUUGACAAAGAUAGAACCUUUAAGCAUCUCAAGAUUGGGAACAUAUCAUGUAGUACCUUAUUGCCUGAGAAACAAUAUCGACAUCCGGUUCUUUAAUAUGACAUGAAUGUGCUCAAACGCUUAACCUCACUAAUAACCUUGAAUUCUCAAAUGCAUCUUACCACAAACAUAUGAAAAAUGAUAAACUUUUUCAAAUAUGUGAACAAAUGGCUUGUCAUAAUCUAGCCUAGAAUAGUUGUCAAAAAAAAUAAUCUAGCCUAGAACGAAAGCCUCAAGACAUAUCUUGUGCUAAGUCAUUGAUCAAGUCCUGCAUUACAAAAUAAGAAUUGGUGACAACUUGACUUAGUCUUUGAAGAAAGACCUCGAUAAUAAUUCACGAAAGUAGUUGUUACCUUCAUCUCCCACGGAAUUGUUGUUUAUAGGUUGCUGAACAAGAUAUAAGGCUAUCCAUAUCUGGACUAACCUUUUCUUUUCAAAUUUGUGAUCUUUUGGAAAUAUCGAACUGUAAGCAAAGCAUCGCUUUAAUUGCGAACCAAGAUAAUGAUAACUCAAUUUUAGAGCUAGAGGAAUGCUACAAUCUAAACCCCAUAUCUCGUGUUUUAAUAUAUCUUCCCAUUCUUCAGUUUCCAAUUUAGACCGCAAGAGACCUUCAGGUGAUUUUACUGCAAAAGGUAGGCCACCACACUUGUUCACAAAUUAUCUUCCAAUACUCACUAGCUCAGGAUAAGCCAUGCAAUCUCCAUUCACAAAUGCAUGCUUUGCAAAGAAUGUCCAACAAUCUUCAAACGACAAUUACUCCAAGGGAUGACUAGGAAUGUGCGCAUUAUUGACUCCACUGCUUGUCGUUACAAUGAUCCUAAUUUCCUGUGCUCCAGCUCUUAAAGGUCUUCUUAGUGUGUCCCAAUCAAUGUAAUUGUCAUUCCAAACAUCAUCUAAAUCAUUUAGAAAUUUCUCCUUGCCACGUUCUCUUUCAACUUGGUCUAAAGUUGAUCGAGACUCUUGAUGUCCUUGUUUGAUGAGGUGACAUCGUAAAAAAAUUUCUUUGUUAUCAUGGAAAUAUCAAAUAUAUCAAAAACACAAACCCAUGAUUUAACAGGAAAAUUGUCAUUUAUUCUGUAUCAUUGUAUACAAACUGGGUAAGGGUCGUCUUGCCCAUCCCUCCCAUGCCAACAAUGGGGAUCUCAUUCCCAGUUGUGUUGCUAGACAACAACAAUUGAAUUUUCUUCUCUUUGUCUUCCUUCCUACCACAUACCUCAUCUUCAUAUACCAAAGAUGAGGUUGGCAGUGAUGGUUUCCUUUCAACAUCAUCUCUUAAUUUAAGAGAUUUUUUUUUUUUUUUUUGCUAAAAAUACACUCCAACUUACUAAUGAUCACUUUUAUUGAGGACUCAAUCUCAUCAUUAGACAAAUAAACGGAAGUCGAGACCAAUGGAUUGAUGCAAAAUAAAGAUUGCUUGAUCAAACUUAAAAAUUGACUGAAACCAACCUAUUUUAUGUUGCUUUGGGUUAGGGACUGAUUAUGAUCAACUUCUUCCAACUUGUCCCUUAGGGCUUUGUUUGCAAUUUCAUCUAGCAAGCCGUCAGCUUGGUGGAUAACAUGUUGAAGCUCCUUGAGCCAUGCUUUCACAGAUUUGUUGUUGAUCUGCUUGUUGUCCGCAUCAUCCAGGAGUGGUUGGAGGGCUAACAAGGUUGUCUGCAGCUUGUUUCCGAGUCCAUCAUCAAACGUCCGUUUGGACAAUAUGUGUACGAGCUCGCGAGAACCCAACCGAUCAGAUAGAAUUUGAAGGAAAGCUGAAACAAAUGCUCCACCCACCACUUCUCCAGUAAUGUUCUUUUCUUCUCGAGAGUAGCUAUAAAGAGGGAAAUUAGCUGUGAAGAAGAGCUCUUAGAUCUAGAAAGAGAGAUCAGAUAUACUUAGCAGUGCGAAGAGCCUUUAGAGUGAAAGUGAGAUCAUGGUAGUGAAGAGCCUUUAGAGACCAGAGAGACUUAUGUGAGAUAUAAAUUUUGUAAUUGUCCAAUUUCGUUGUCAAAACGUGUCUGAUUGAGUUGUAAUUUUUGUUUUAUUUUGAGUCUUGAUGUCGGAAGCAAAAUAACAAGUGCACGCAUACUUCGAUUCGGUGAGAACAUCAUUUAGAACAGGUAUGCGCGUGAGGACACAUUGCAAAUAUGUAUUUUAGGUUGGUGGAGACUGCAUUGGAUUUUUCAGGGUCAAAACAGUCUUAUUUUUGCUCUUUGUAAAAGUACAACCGGUUGCACUUUUAAACAGAACUGGUUGCACUUCAUGCAGAGCAAAUUGCAGCUCUCAGCCAAAAUAGAAUCGGUUGCGUUUUCCUGAAUGUGCGAUAUUUUAGUUUUGCUAACUUUUUAGUUUCCUGAUUUACUGAAACUUUUAGAGAAGUCGUCGUACGAUUUUAAAACAUCUUUCUAUAUAUUUUGAGGACUCUCUAGUCUAUAUAAACCUCUCAAAUUUCCACCCUUGUUGGAAUUUUUAAUGCUUCAAUUAGGAAACACAAGGAUUCAUCUUUUUCACAAUUGUUGAAGCUUUUUGAGAGAGAUUUUAGGAGAAAUUUGAUUUAGAUUUUUGAGAGCACACACUUAAACACACGAGUGAUUUAUGGUGAUGUUCUUAAUCUGAUCGGAUCAAUACUGAAGAUUCAAAGGUUGCAUCCAGAAGUAGGGUUUGAUCUUCAACUACAAUUUCAAAUCAAGUUGAAAGGAGGAAUCAAUCACACUACGAAGGGGUCGGAGCAUUUGCAGAGUGUUCGUGAUCUACCAACAAUCCUUCUACAAGGAUCAAGGUAGUAAGCCUAAAAUCUAGAGCGUUUGGACGGGGGAGUCGCAAAGCCAGAGAGAUAUUCAACAAUUGGUUCUUGGUAUAGCGGAUUUGGUGUAAGCCUGAGUCAGAGUCCAUUGUACUUUGCUUCGAUGAUAAUGAACCCACUCGAUAUUGCGAAAAUCUUCGUGGUUUUCAUCCCAGUUGGUCGGAUUUCUUCCAACAAGGGUUCUAUGCAAAAAUCCUUGGUGUCAUGUCUCAAACUUUAUUUGCACUUUAAUUUUUUGAUGUUCGUUUUAUUUUGGUAAAAUUAAAAUAAGCAAAGAUUGGUAAAAAGAGCAAGUUAAACCUGUUCACCCCAUUCUAGGUUAUUUUUACAUCAAACCUCCACAUCCAUUCCACAUAACGCAACUCAUAGUUGGUAUCAGAGCUGGUUUUCUAAACAGUGAGUUGUUUCGUAUGGAAGUCCUUUUCAAAAAUAAAAAUUAUUUUUUAUUUAAAAAAUUAUCAUGGAAAAUCCCGUGAGACAGGGUGAAUUAAAUUCUCGCUUGGCUAGGAAAUUCAGAAAAUCUCUAAGGAAUGAAAAGAUUGAAAAUUUUAGAAAAGAGAAUUUUUAUAAAUUUCAUAGUUGUGGAAAAAGUAUUAUCAUCUAUAGGAAAGAAUAGGAAACAUAAAAGAAAAGAGGUACAUAAAUUGCUUCAGGAGACCAAUGUUGAAUUUCAGAAUCUUCAGGGUAAGAUAAGAAUUUUCGAAAGUGAGGUAAGUCAAGCUAAUUCUGCUAGAGAAUCUCUUGUUGCUAGAGUUGCUUUUAUUGAACUUGAAUUGAAAAAGUCACUACAGAAAUUGAUUGCUUCUACUUCUGGGCAGAUUAAGCUUAAUGAGAUGAUUAGUGUUUCUGUAGGACAGAAGAAUGGAUUAGGUUUUGAUGAGGCUUGAACUAGUAAGAAGGGUCAUAUUGUUUUUGUUAAACCCAUGAACAUGAAUGUGCAUAUUUCUAAACCUAAAUAUGUUGUUGACCCUAUGCAUGCUAAGAAUGUGUACACGAUGUUUUAUUGUUCUUAUUGUGGUAUAACUGGACAUAGUCACGCUAUAAAAAGAAAAUAUUUUUUUCUUGAAUUUCAUGGUUAUAAUUCCUUUGCACAAAAUAGUUUUCAUGCUAGAAAGUAAAAUAAUUGGAAUAAACCUAGAAAUUUUCAUGCCAAAAGGAAUUCAAAUAAGAAAAAGAAUGCUCUUGAUGUUCCUUAAAAAUUUCUUCACAAGUUGAAUGUUAAAACAAAUUUGGAUGAAGAAAGAGGAUUUGAAGUUGUAUGUGCAUGUUGAUGCUAUGGGACUUAUUUCCAAUAGGUGUAUGGGUGCAAACCCCCCAACUAGAUUGUAAGGAGUUUUUAUGGUUAUGGACUGUGCUAAGAUGUUUAUUUUGUUUCCAUUGAACCAGAUCUUGUAUUUUAGGAUAAGGUUUUUAUUUUAUUAUUUUUUAUUUUAUGAGAAUGUGAAGAUCAUGUUUUUCUUUGUUUAUACAUGAGUGAUAUUGAUUUCUCUUAAAUUUAUUAUAUCUUUAUAAAUGCAAAUUGGGACACAUGAUUAUCUGAUGAAUGAAAUUCUUGAUGUGUAAUCUAUACUUAUGAAAAUCAAUUUGCUAUAUUUAUCUAUUUUUAGAGACAUGUCUCUUAAGUUCAUAUGUUUGAGCACUAGUCCUCAAGUUCAUAUGUUUGAGCACUAGUCCUCCAACUCUGAGAAAAUUAAUUGAAAAUCAUUGAGAAGUUGAUUAGAUCACAUUGUUUAGAGAAGCUAUAAAGGUUAUUGCUAAAAAAAAAAAAGGGCAUAUAUUUAUAAAAAAUAAAAAUAAAAAUUUCAGCAUGAAAAAAAGAAAAGAAAAAUCAAUUGAUGUGCUGAAAAUCUUUGCUAAGGAAAAGGCUACCUAUUGAGAUUAGUUCGAAAGCUCCUAAGACUUUGAAGUGAAGCAAAUUGAGUAAAAAGAAAGGAGGAGACAAGUCAAAAUAGGGAAUUGCUGUCUACUCAUUAGAGUGAAAGCCGCCUUGCUUAGAAAAAAAAAAAUGUUUAAUAAGCUCAAGCAAUUUUAUCUUGAUGCUUUUUAUCCAAUGUGCUUUAGUUAAUUGAUAAAUGAUAUUUGAUUAAAUUUUGAUGAUGUUGGAUUGCACACACACACAUGAGCUUGCUAGGCAAAUUUCUAAAUUUUUAUAAAUACCACAAGUUUGGGAUUCAUGUUGUGAUUAUAUGUUUGAGAAUGGAUUUUGUUGCAUAAUAUGUGGUCUUAAAAUUUUGUUUUCAUAAAGUGUUUUGAAUAUUUGAGAAAUUUGUGGUCCUCGUAUAUGAGAUUGUUCUCAUCAUUAAAGUUGUCUUGUUUUUAAUAUUCAAAAAAGAAUUUUUUUCCUUUAAAUCUUGAAAAAUUCCAAAAAGAUUUUGUUUUAUCUUUAGAUAGGAAUUUUAUUUGUAUUUAAAGUUUUUUUUUUUUUUUUGGGUGCUUUUAUGCUGCCCCAUGCGUUUUGUUCUUAUAUGUGUUCAUGCGAUUUGAAUGGCAAAAACAUCAGUUUUUAUGUUUUUCGCUCGUUCCAGUUUUGGUGCAGUUUAACUUAAGUCACUUAUGCAUGUCAUGUGCCAAAUUUAAGACACCAUUGCACACCCUAGACACCUCCAAGUGCCACCACUUGUUCCCAUUCGCCUUUGGAUGCAUCGGUAAGACAUUGCUAGUUUUUCUUCUUUAAUCAUAAGUUUAGAUCUUUUAUUGCAUUUUGAUGCUAGAAAUGUAAAUAAUGAUUCACUGAACCAGUUUGGGAAAAUCAUGAGGAUUUGGUUGAUUUUGGGUGAUUCAUUGCAUUUGCGGUGAUUGGAUAAACAUUGUUUAAGAUUUUUUGAGGCUGUGUUCAUAUUUUUGGAUUGAAGUCAUAGGAGUCGACUUUUAAACUUGAGGUUAGAAUUAAUGCAUACAAGUGUUUGAAAUAUUGCAUCAACCAAGUUUUCUUAUAGCCCAUUUUUUUUUGACAUGUUCUUGUAAUGGCUUCAAGAAGACUAAGGUUCAUGAUUUGGAAUUGUGAUUGUGGUGAAAAUUGAUGUAAUAGCUCAAGUCAUUAAAGUUAAUUUGAAUGAUCUUGAAGCUUUUGAUCUUGGAUGCUUAGGUGUUUAUGAUUUGGUUUUAGUGACAUUGAGGAUAUUGAUUGUUAAAUAUAGUUUUGGAGAUAUUUUGAUGAUCAUGUCUAUAUUUGGAUGUUUUAUUUAGUGAUGCUAUUUUGACGAUGAUAAUUAUUUGUGGAUAGAUUUUUUAACGAGGGAGAUGGAUACAUGUAGGUAUUUAUGUGAAUGAUGGAUGAUUUUAUUUUCAUGCUUAUCUCUUAUAUUGUUCAUAUAUGUCCAUCUUGUGUGAACUUUUAGCUCAAUUUUCGAUUGGUAUUGAUAUCCUCUAUUAGUUUGUUCUUUUCUUCCUUUUAUGCAUAGUUUGUCAGUUUCUUACAAAAGGGGGGAGAAGAUGUGGGAUGUAAAAAUGCAACUCACAGAAGAGGUACUUUAUGUUCAAGGGGGAGAUAUCAUGUGUAAUUUUGAGCAUAUUGUUUCUAUUUGUUUUGUAGAUGGAACAUGUGUUAAAUAGCUUUCUUUUGUUCCACUUCUACUAUAUAUUCAUGUUUUUAUGCUUAUUGGUCUAUCUUAUGCAUGGUUGAUAGUAUUAUUCCUCUUCAGUGUUUAUUCUCUCUUAUUAUUAUUAUUAUUAUUUUUAUUUUUAUUUUUUUUCAUUUUUUGUUAAGCUUUAUUUGUCAAUUUGUAGUAAAAAGGAGAGAAGUGGUAUAUCUUUGAGGGGGAGAGUUACUGAUGUUGAUAUUGAUAUCUUUAUAUUUUAUUUUUCAUGAUUAAGCUUUCAUUGUUUAGCAUUGUGCUGGUUUACAGGUUAUUUCCACUGAACACGUGCUCUGCUACCCUAAUGAACCUUCGUUCCAUUUUAUUUAUUUAUUAUUAUUAUUGUUUUCUAUUUUGACAAUCAAUGUAAUUUACUUUUCCUGUUUGAGUUAGAUUACAUGUUGUCUAGGGGUCUUGUCACGAUAUUGUCAAAGGGGGAGAUUGUGAGAUAUAAAUUUUGUAAUUGACUAAUUUCGUUGUCAAAACGCGUCGGAUUGAUUUGUAAUUUUUGUUUUACUUUGAGUCUCAAUGUUGGAAACGGAACAACAAGUGCAAGUAUACUUCGAUUCGAUGAGAACAUCAUUUAGAGUAGGUAUGUGAGUGAGGACACAUUGCACAUUUGUAUUUUAGGUUGGUGGAGAGUGCGUUCAAUUUUUCAAAGUCAAAACAUUCUUAUUUUUGCCCCAUGCAAAAGUACAACUGAUUUUACUUUAAAACAGAACCAGUUUCACUUUCUGAAAUCAGAAAUGGUCUCGGCAAAAACAAAACCAGUUGCAUUUUGCUGAUUGUGCGAGAUUUCAGUUUUUGGUAACUUUUUAGUUUCAUGUGAAACUUUUAGAGAAGUCCUUAUGCAAUUUUAAAACAUCUUUUCAUAGAUUUUGAGGACUCUCUAGUCUAUAUAAGCCUCUCAAAACUUCAACCAUAGUAGGGAUUUUUAAUGCUUCAAUUGGAAAAAUAAGGACUCGUCUUUUACACAAUCGUUGAAGCUUUUUGAGAUAGAUUUUCAAAGAAAUUUGAUUUAUAUUUUUGAGAGCACAUACUUAAACACACGAGUGAUUGAGGGUGGUGUUCUUAAUCUGAUCCGAAGAUUCAAAGGUUCCAUUCAGAAGCAGGGUUUGAUCUUCAACUACAAAUUCAAAUCAAGUUAAAAGGAGUAAUAAAUCACACUACGAAGGGGUCAAAGCAUUCACGGAGUGUUCGUGAUCAAUCAGCAAUCCUUCUACGGGGUUCAAGGGAGUAAGCCUGAUGCCUAGGCGUUUGGACAAGGGAGUCGCAAAGCUUGAGAGACAUUCAACUAUUUGUUCUUUGUAGAAUGGAGUUGGUGUGAGCCUGAGUUAGAGUCCAUUGUACUUUGCUUUGAAUAUAGUGGAUCAUUUCGCUCGAGACUGCGAAAGUCUCCAUGGUUUUCAUCCCAGUUGCUCAGAUUUCUUCCAACAAGGGUUUCCACGCAAAAAUCCCUGGUGUCAUCUCUCAAACUUUAUUUACUUUACUGGCACUCUAAUUUUGCUUUGUGGGUUGAUGAUCGUUUUAUUUCGAAAAAAAUAAAAUAAGCAAAAUGUGGUAAAAAGAGCAAGUUAAACCUAUUCACCCCCAUUUAGGUUAUUUUUACAUUAAACGUCCAUUCCGCAUAGCGCAACUCACAACUUAGUAGUGAUAGAGAUCAGAUAGAGACUUGGCAGUGAAGAGCCUUUAGAGAAGUGAAGAAUCUUUAGAGAUUGAGCCACUUGAAUGUUGAAUUUGGUGGUUAAGAACGAUUAGACUUUUGUUAAUUUACCAUUAAGCUUUACUUCAUCCUUCUUAACCAUCUCUAAAGACUCUUCACUGCUAAGUCUCUUUGAUCUCUAAAGGCUCUUCACUCCCAGUCUCUCUAUUUGAUCUUCGUCUUUAAGUCUCUCUAAUCUCUAUCACCGCUAACUCUCUCUGACCUUUAGAGGCUCUUCACUGCCAAGUCUUUGAUCUCUCUCUCUCUCUCUAAAGGCUUUCACACUGCUAAGUCUCUUUGAUCUCUCUUUCUAGAUCUAUGGGGCUCUUCUUCACAGCUAAUUUAUAGCUACUUUGUAGAAGAAAAGAACAUUGCUGAAGAAGUGGUGGGUGGAGCAUUUCUCUCAACUUGCCUUCAAAUUCUAUUUGAUCGGUUGGCCUCUCGCGAGUUCGUACGCAUAUUUUCCAAACGCAAGUUUGAUGAUGGACUCAGAAACAAGCUGCAGACAACCUUGUUGACCCUCCAACCACUGCUGGAUGAUGCGGACAACAAGCAGAUCUCCAACAAAUCUGUGAAAAUUUGGCUCAAGGAGCUCCAACAUGUUAUCCACCAAACUGAUGACUUGCUGGAUGAAAUUGCAACCAAAGCCCUAAGGGACAAGUUGGAAGAUGCUGAUCAUGAUCAGUCCCUAACGCAAAGCAGCAAAAAAUAGGUUGGUUCAGUCAAUUUUUUAAGUUUGAUCAAGCAAUCUUUGUUUUCCAUUAAUCCAUCGGUCUCGACUUCCGUUUAUUUGUCUAAUGAUGAGAUUGGGUCCUGGAUGAAAGUUAUCAUUAGUAAGUUGGGAGUGUUUUCUUGAGCAAACAAAAUCUCUUAAAUUGAGAGAUGAUGUUGAAAGGAAACCAUCACAAAGGCUGCCAACCUCAUCUUUGGUAUGUGAAGAUGAGGUUUGUCGUAGGAAGUACGACAAAGAGAAGAUAAUUCAAUUAUUGCUGUCUAGCAACACAACUGGGAAUGAGAUCCCUUUGAUCCCCAUUGUUGGCAUGGGUGGGAUGGGCAAGACAAACCCUGCCCAGUUCGUAUACAAUGAUGGUAGAAUAAAUGACAAUUUCCUAUUAAAUCAUGGGUUUGUGUUUUUGAUACAUUUGAUAUUUUCAUGAUAAGAAAAUUUUGGACGAUGUCACCUCAUCAAACAAGGACAUCAAGAGUCUCGAUCAACUUUAGACGAAGUUGAAAGAGAAUGUGGCAAAGAAGAAAUUUCUAAAUGAUUUAGAUGAUGUUUAGAAUGACAAUUACAUUGAUUGGGACACACUAAGAAGACCUUUUAGAGCUGGAGCACAGGAAAGUAGGAUCAUUGUAACGACAAGUAGUGGAGUCAAUAAUGCGCACAUUCCUAGUCAUCCCUCAGAGUAAUUACCUUUUGAAGAUUGUUGGUCAUUAUUUGCAAAGCAUGCAUUUGUGAAUGGAGAUUGUAUGGUUUAUCCUGAGCUAGUGAGUAUUGGAUGAGAAAUUGUGAACAAGUGUGGUGGCUUACCUUUAGUAGUAAAAUCACUUGAAGGUCUCUUGUGAUCUAAAUUGGAAACUGAGGAAUGGGAAGAUAUAUUAGAACACAAGAUAUGGGGUUUAGAUCGCAGCAUUCUUCCAGCUCUAAGAUUGAGUUAUCACAUUAUCUUGGUUCGCAAUUAAAGUGAUGCUUUGCACACUGUUCGAUAUUUCCAAACGAUCACUGAUUGGAAAAGAAAAGGUUAGUGCAGUUAUUGAUAGCCUUAUAUCUUGUUCAACAACCUAGAAACAACAAUUCCGUAGGAGAUGAAGGUAACGACUACUUUCGUGAAUUAUUAACAAGGUCUUUCUUUCAAAGACUAAGUCAUCUUGUCACAUAUUCUUAUUUUGUAAUGUAUGACUUGAUCAAUGACUUAGCACAAGAUAUAUCUGGAGGCUUUCGUUCUAGGCUAGAUUAUGACAAGACACUUGUUCACAUCUUUGAAAAAGUUUGUCAUUUUUCAUAUGUUUGAGGUGAGUACGGUGCAUUUGAGAAAUUCAAGGUUAUUAGUGAGGUUAAGCGUUAGACCAAAUUCAUGUCAUAUUAAAGAGCCGGAUGUCGAUAUUGUUACUCCGGCAAUAAGGUACUACAUGAUACGUUCCCAGUCUUGAGAUGCUUAAAGGUUCUAUCUCUGUCAAACUAUUAGAUUUCUAAAUUGCCUCAAAAAAAUUUGAUACAUUUAUGCUAUUUAGAUCUUUCUGAGACAAGAAUCAAGAAGUUACCUAAUUCUGUAACAACCUUGUGCCAUUUACAGAUAUUAGAUUUUUCACAGUGUGAAUGUCUGACUGACUUUCCUGUGAACAUGGGAAAACUGAUAAACUUGCGUCAUCUUGAUGUCAAAGGAACUAGAUUCAUUGAAAUUCCAACACAAAUGAGUAGGCUGAAGGAUCUCCAACAUUUAACAUAUUUUGUAAUUUGGAAGUAUGAUGAGUCAAGGAUUAGUGGGUUGAAGGAACUUUGCCAUUUUUGGGGAAAACUCAAUAUUUUAGGGCUGGAAAAUGUAGUAAGUGGUCAGGAUGCAUCAGAGGCCAAUAUGAAAGAUAAGAAACAUCUUGAAGGAUUAGUAUUGAAAUGGGGUGGCUAUACGGAUGAUUCAAUAAGGGAAAGAGAUGUACUUGACAAGCUACAACCUCAUGAAGGGUUGAAGACUCUCAGCAUCUUCAACUAUGGGAGCGCAAAAUUUUCGGAUUGGUCAUAGGGAGCUCAUUCAUCUUGCAACAUGGUGUCCUUAGAACUUAUAGACCGUGCAAAUUGCUAUUCAUUGGCAUCAGUUGGGCAGCUACCCUCUCUAAAAUAUCUAAGAAUUGAAGGAAUGAAAGCAAUAACAAAUGUGGGUCGAGAGUUCUAUGGGGAUGCUUCUUCUUCGAUCAAAACCAUUUUAAUCUCCAGAGACACUAAGCUUUAAGCAAUUGGAAGAGUGGGAGGAAUGGCAUGCAUUAGGGGCUGGAGAGUUCUCUUGCCUUUUAGAGCUUUCUUUGGUUGAUUGUCCCAAGCUGAUCGGUGAAUUAUCCAUCCACUUCCUAUCUCUAAGGAAACUUGAUAUUUUUGAAUUUCAAAGGCUCCUGCCCAAUCAAGUUGGGCUGCUGCUGCAAGGCCUGCCUUCUCUUCAAGAAUUGGAGAUGUCAGAGAUGACAAACUUGACAGAAUUGCCCCCGCAAUUGCAAAACCCUGUCUUCUCUUCAGAAAUUGGAGAUUUCAAGGAUGCCAAACUUGAAGGAAUUGCCUCCGGAAUUGUCCCAGAUUAAUAAAACUUGAACAGUUGGACAUAGAGAAAUGUCUGAGCCUCAUGUCAUUUUUGGACGUGGGAACUGAUGCUUAAGAUUUGGAUUAUCAAUGAAUGUGAAGCUCUACAGACCAUAAUAGUAGCAUCAUCAGCAGAAGGAAUGAAUAUGAAUAUGAUGAUGGGCAUCAACAAUAUUUGUCUCGAAGACUUGCACAUCUAUAAAUGUUUAUCUCUUCUUCAGGUGUCUUUCCCCUUUGGUGAUCUACCUCCCUCCUACAUUGAAAUUACUUUUGAUAGAGGGUUGUAGAAGUUUAGAGUUUCCCCUGCCGGAUGAGAUGGAGCAUAGUCACCACACAUCCAUUGCUGUUUCAAAGAUAACCAGAAGUUGUGAUCUUCUCAAGUCAUUGUUGUUAGGCUUCUUCCCAACGCUUUCAAGGAGUUUGUUUAGAAUAGAGGAUUGCCCUAGAAUGCUAUCCUUUGCCCUAGGAGGACUGCCCACUCUCAAUCUGACCUCCUUUCUUGUUGAGAGUUGUGAGAAUCUGAAGUCGCUGCCGCAAGGAAUGCACACCCUUUUCCCAUCUCUUCAAGAAUUGUCGAUACAUAACUGUCCUGAAGUUGAAUCAUUUCCAGAUGGAGGUUUGCCAAUUAACCUACGUGUCAUUGACAUCCAUUAUUGCAAGAAACUGAUGAAGGUCCGGAUGGAUUGGGUUUUGCAAACACUCCCAUCUCUUGGAGGAUUCAAUAUUAGCGGUGAAUCCUUGUCAGAAGUAUUGUUGGAAUCAUUUCCGGAGGAGUGGCUAUUGCCCACCACUCUUACCUAUCUUGACAUCAGUUUUCUUCCAAAUCUCAAGAAACUCAACCACAAGGGCCUUCAACACCUCACCUUUCUUACACAUCUAUACAUCACUAAUUGCCCUGAGCUCCAGUCCUUGCCAGAAGAGGUGCUGCCCGACUCUUUCUCUUUCCUGAUUAUACGGGAACGUCCAUUGCUGUAACCACGUUUCCAAAGGGAGAAAGGGGAAGAUUGGCCCAAUAUUUCUCAAAUCUGCCACAUAAGGAUCGAUGGUGAAGAGAUAGUAAAAAUUCUGCCACAUAAGGAUUGAUGGUGAAGAGAUAGUAAACUUGGAGUGACAGACACUCAUGCAUGCUCGAAUUGGAUUCCUCUGGUUUCUAUUCCAUUCAGGCUGUCAAUGCCAGUGGUAUUAUGGCCAUGCCCAGAUGAUCAAGUUUCAACUUUCUCCACAUUGAUGGUUCCACAGAAACUCCAAUUUUCCAUCAGCUAAAAACCACCCUUAGGUCUCUGUUUGAUUCUCAGAAACAAUGAUGAAAGGCAAAGGAAAAUGGAAAAAGAAGGCAGAAAUUAAAGAAACUAGUUCAUAGAUUUUCAAUGGAUUCUCCAAAGAACUGCUUAACAUCUGGUUUUGCGUGAAACUUGCAGUGUUAGUGAGGGAAACAUUGAUCUCAGG